GAUGAACGCUGGCGGCGUGCUUAACACAUGCAAGUCGAGCGAACAGACGAGGCGCUUGCUCCUCUGACGUUAGCCGCGGACGGGUGAGUAACACGUGGAUCACCUCCCUAUAAGUCUGGGAUAACUUCGGGAAACCGGAGCUAAUACCGUAUAACAUGUUGAACCGCAUGGUUCAACAGUGAAAGACGGUCUUGCUGUCUCUUAUAGAUGGAUCCGGGCCGCAUUAGCUAGUUGGGAAGGAAACGGCUUACCACGGCAACGAUGCGUAGCCGACCGAAGAGGGGGAAGGGCCACAGUGGAGCUGAGACGCGGUCCAGGCACCGAGGGAAGGCAGAGGGAGGGAAGGGUCGGCAAAGGGGGAAAGCCUGACGAAGCAACGCAGGGUGAGUGAAGAAGGUCUGCGGGUCGUAAAACUCUGUUAUGAGGGAAAAACAAAUGUGUAUGUAACUAUGCGCGACUGGAGGGAACGGAAUCAGAAAGCCACGGCAAACUACGG
rnacentral:rRNA from 1 species